UUGGUGUCUAUGUGUAAAGAAACUGGCAGGGAUCCUUUGUUUACAGUAAGGAUCAGCUGUUAGCGCUGCGUCCCGCAGCAGUACUGCCGGCGGACAGACUCGACAUUCCCAGCGAGCUGAGGAAGAAAAGACGGGGGUGUCGUGCUGGGAAGGAGUGCCGUCGCACGAGAAGGAGACAUUAUCGACCAUCUCUUCCUUCUGUAAUCAAAUGUUACGUAAGGCCCAAAAUGGCCUCCGUACAAGAAAACUGACUGAAGAUGAUGAUGGAGGAAGAGGAGGACAGAGCAGAGUCUGCAGGAUCCAGCUGUCCGUCUGUGACCAGUGACCGGUCCAAAGAACUAAAUCCUCCACUCUUCAGUGCUGAACCUGGACCAACAAG
ensembl:lncRNA